rnacentral:misc_RNA from 1 species
UCCGGUUCACCACCGGCAGUCUCCUUAGAGUCCCCGUCAUUACACGCUGGUAACUAAGGAUAGGGGUUGCGCUCGUUACGGGACUUAACCCAACAUCUCACAACACGAGCUGACGACAGCCAUGCAGCACCUGUCUCCUGGUUCCUUUCGGCACCCCCAUAUCUCUACAGGGUUCCAGGGAUGUCAAGGGCAGGUAAGGUUCUUCGCGUUGCAUCGAAUUAAACCACAUGCUCCACCGCUUGUGCGGGCCCCCGUCAAUUCCUUUGAGUUUUAGCCUUGCGGCCGUACUCCCCAGGCGGAGAACUUAUCGCGUUAGCUUCGAUACUAAACAGUCUAAGCUGCCCAACAUCUAGUUCUCAUCGUUUACAGCAUGGACUAC